rnacentral:lncRNA from 1 species
AAAUUGAUUUUAUGCUAUUGCAUGGUUUGGGUAUAAAUAAGAAUUAGCUAUUACAGGUACAUGUACAAAUACGGGGAUAAAAAAAAUAGCGUUUGGAUGAAAAUUGAAUUAUUCCCUGGAAUAAGAAAAAUAGCCUGUGGAUAGAUAAUAUGGAAUAAAAAAAAUAGUGGGUAGUUAUAUAUAGAAAAUAAAAGUAUUGGUGGGAAUAGUUAUACCAGCUUAUUUCAGAUACUCGAGAAUUACUAUUCUCGAAUAAAAAAUUUAUGUUUAGGUAUAAAAGAGGAUAAGGGGUUAUCCCUCCUCUU